rnacentral:antisense_RNA from 1 species
GCAGGCCUGUCCCUUUGCUUUCUUAAAACUGCGCACCGUCUGAGGCCACUUCGAGCCUACUGGAUCCCUGGUUCCGACCCAGUAGGAUCACAGAAGCAGGGCCAGCUGCCAGGAGAAAAAGUUGUUCUCUUCUACCAAAUUUUCCUGCCAUCAAAUGCUCAUCGAGUGACAAUAGAGAAAGCACCAUCAUCCUCAAGCAUCAGAUUGGGAGAAAAGUCCGCUCUCGAGAGCAUCAACUAUGUAGAAAGGGGACCAACCUAUGUUAUAUCUGCCUUAGUGCAUGGGCUGCUGGUCAAUGCUAAUAGCUGGCUCUCAGGGAAGAAAGAAAAACCAUCUGUGGCAUCUGCCAAUUUCUGUGGUGUAAAUACUCUGAGCUCUGCCAAUUUCAAGCCAUCCAUCUGACAUUGCUGAACCCAAAGUUGGCAAGGGAUGUGCACAAUUGCCUUUUGCAAGCAAGCUUCUGCAAAAGACUUGAGACAGCUCACAAUGAAGUACUCUGUAUUAGGCAGGGUAAUAUUGAUUGCAAGUGACAGAAACCCAAUCAGAAACUCACUGGAGUCAUGAGGAACACUUAUUGGCUCAGAGUAAAGGCAUGGACCUUCAGAGAAAUAAAGUCU